GUUUGUUCGCUUAAAGUUUAGAAAAGAGAUUGAUGAUUUGCAGUGUAAAAUUCAAAAAGUAUGUUACAUAUAAAAAAGAAAUUCUUUAUGGUGUUUUCAACGAUGUCGCAACAUUGUUAUCGCAAUCACAUCUAAAUCUCCACAAAAGUCCUUGUAGUAGAAACUUGAGUAACUAAAAAAUUCAUAUCAUGAUGAUAUAAGGAGGUUCGUGCAACUUGAAUCCAUGCAUUAGGAGGAACAAUUCAUGCAUCAUAUAAGAAUAAAGGCAACACAGGGACAUAUGUAAAAGGUAACAUGCAUGAAGUUGGAGAUUAUUUGAUGAUCACGUAUAAAUAUGUUUGUUCAUGGAUUAUACAUGAAUUUCAUCGGAAUCCUUGCUACAUGCUUCAUUUAUGGCUCCAUGCUUAUGCAGAGUGUCAAUCACGACGUUUAGAUCCAUUGCACAAAACUUUUGCUUGAGCUAAUGCUGUAUGGUAGACUUUGGAACCAGAUUUUAAAGGAAAAUGCGAUUAGUGUGCAACCCCAACAACCACACCCCCACCAAACCCACCACAAAAAAAAAGAAAAAGUACUCGUACAACACACAAACACAGCAUUUGGUCUGUAGUAAGCCAAGAACACCUAAAAUAUGAU
rnacentral:lncRNA from 1 species